GACGAACGCUGGCGGCGUGCUUAACACAUGCAAGUCGAACGCUGAAGCUCAGCUUUUGUUGGGUGGAUGAGUGGCGAACGGGUGAGUAACACGUGAGUAACCUGCCCCCUUCUUUGGGAUAACGCCCGGAAACGGGUGCUAAUACUGGAUAUUCACUGGUCUUCGCAUGGGGGUUGGUGGAAAGGGUUUUUCUGGUGGGGGAUGGGCUCGCGGCCUAUCAGCUUGUUGGUGGGGUGAUGGCCUACCAAGGCUUUGACGGGCUGGCGGCCUGAGGGGGUGGCCGGUCACAGUGGGACUGAGAUGCGGCCUACAGUCCGACGGGGGGGAGCAGUGGGGAAUAUUGCACAAUGGGCGCAAGCGUGAUGCAGCGACGCCGCGGGAGGGAUUGAGGCCGUCGGGUUGUGAACCUCUUUCGCUAAUGGUCAAGCCGCAACAAUGGUUGUGGUGAGGGUAGUGGGUAAAGAAGCGCCGGCUAACUACGUG
rnacentral:rRNA from 1 species